rnacentral:rRNA from 1 species
GAUUAAGUUAUUAAGGGCGCACGGUGGAUGCCUUGGCACUAGAAGCCGAUGAAGGACGUUACUAACGACGAUAUGCUUUGGGGAGCUGUAAGUAAGCUUUGAUCCAGAGAUUUCCGAAUGGGGAAACCCAGCAUGAGUUAUGUCAUGUUAUCGAUGUGUGAAUACAUAGCAUAUUAGAAGGCACACCCGGAGAACUGAAACAUCUUAGUACCCGGAGGAAGAGAAAGAAAAUUCGAUUCCCUUAGUAGCGGCGAGCGAAACGGGAAGAGCCCAAACCAACAAGCUUGCUUGUUGGGGUUGUAGGACACUCUAUACGGAGUUACAAAGGACGACAUUAGACGAAUCAUCUGGAAAGAUGAAUCAAAGAAGGUAAUAAUCCUGUAGUCGAAAAUGUUGUCUCUCUUGAGUGGAUCCUGAGUACGACGGAGCACGUGAAAUUCCGUCGGAAUCUGGGAGGACCAUCUCCUAAGGCUAAAUACUCUCUAGUGACCGAUAGUGAACCAGUACCGUGAGGGAAAGGUGAAAAGCACCCCGGAAGGGGAGUGAAAUAGAACCUGAAACCGUGUGCUUACAAGUAGUCAGAGCCCGUUAAUGGGUGAUGGCGUGCCUUUUGUAGAAUGAACCGGCGAGUUACGAUUUGAUGCAAGGUUAAGCAGUAAAUGUGGAGCCGUAGCGAAAGCGAGUCUGAAUAGGGCGUUUAGUAUUUGGUCGUA